rnacentral:rRNA from 1 species
GACGAACGCUGGCGGCGUGCUUAACACAUGCAAGUCGAACGGAAAGGCCCUGCUUUUGUGGGGUGCUCGAGUGGCGAACGGGUGAGUAACACGUGAGUAACCUGCCCUUGACUUUGGGAUAACUUCAGGAAACUGGGGCUAAUACCGGAUAGGAGCUCCUGCUGCAUGGUGGGGGUUGGAAAGUUUCGGCGGUUGGGGAUGGACUCGCGGCUUAUCAGCUUGUUGGUGGGGUAGUGGCUUACCAAGGCUUUGACGGGUAGCCGGCCUGAGAGGGUGACCGGCCACAUUGGGACUGAGAUACGGCCCAGACUCCUACGGGAGGCAGCAGUAGGGAAUAUUGCACAAUGGGCGGAAGCCUGAUGCAGCAACGCCGCGUGCGGGAUGACGGCCUUCGAGUUGUAAACCGCUUUCGCCUGUGACGAAGCGUGAGUGACGGUAAUGGGUAAAGAAGCACCGGCUAACUACGUG